CCUCUUCACCAGUAUGGCUACACCGGCAGUGCUUUGCAUCAUCUUGGGAGAAAAUGACUCAUCCAAAAUAUCCCUGCCUUCAGGAAUACCAGCUUCUGUUGAGGAACUAAAAAGUGAGAUAAAAAGACAAUAUGAGGUGUUGGAAGACUUCAGACUACAAUACAAGGACAAGGAUUUUGAUGAGUUCAUAAACCUGAAGUCUACCUCUGAGAUCCAAAGCAAAGCUAUCAUCAAAGUGAUUUACCUCCCAAGUGUUUUGCCAACAAGUAGCCUUUGCCUGUCUUCAGAGACUACUUCUAUUUCAUCAGUGGACACGGACAUCCUGUCAUCUGACUCUUCGUCGUCAUCCCUGAGAUGUGAGCCAUGGCCGGACAACUUUCCUGUGCCUGAAUUCACCUACAAUGUUGAGCUCCAACUCGAGCGUGGGAAUGCUGACUUCCAAAAUAAUGGUACCCUGCUCAGUCCAAGUCCAAAACUGAAGUCAGACAUUCUCGAAAGUUUGGCAUCCCAGAUCAUCAAAUUUAAAGCUUAUCCAUCCAGUGCUGAAUUUGAUGAUGUAGCUAAAGCACUCGUGAAGAAACACCCAUGUUUAAAGGAGCAAGGUUCUGUUUCCGGGUUUUAUGGGUGGAAGAUAAGCUUAAAAUAUAAAAUGGCAAACUAUCGCACAAUGCUGCGCAACAUUGGAUGCACUGAGCUGACUGUGAAUUCCCUCAAGCGGAAACAAGGUGAUUCACGCACAUCUCCGAAUCAAGUGAAAAAAGCGAGAAGAGCAGAAGUAAACUACUGUCCUGAUUAUCCGUCAGGACAAUCCCAGGAUAGCCUUGAGGAAGAGAGGCUGGCACUAUUGUCUGAAGUGAAAAGAGCAACAACCAUCAGGUGGUUAAGGCAAAAAUGGAAAUGACAUUUGCUUAUCGGAGACAUGAGGUGAUUGAAGACAGACCUUUCAUUGCCGAGUUCAAAAGGAGAUGGCCAGCUCUCUUCUCUGAGCAAGAGACAGAUGCCAUUGAAACAAGAAGAGCCUGCGUGCUCAAAGCACUCAUGGUCUACGUCAAUGAAGACCCUGACCACCUAAUUCGAGAGUACAUAGAUGUUGAAGACAACCAGAAGGCUAUGGACGAGACAGUCCUGGGAAUUUAUGCCAUCACUGUUGAAGGUGCAGAGCCCACAGAUUGCCUGGCAGAUGUUGGUAUAAUCAUUGAAGGAGUGAAUGUGCUCGAUGAACUUGGCAACAUCGCGAAUGCUGUUGCCAUUUUGCUUGGCCUCAUGUACUCACUUGACUUGAGCUAUCCAACAAAUCUCAAGUAUACAUUUGAAGUUCUGCAGAAGCUUGUCAUGGAACCAGAUGCCAACAAACUGUCAACAAAGGUGCAAGUGCUACAGAACAAACUCUUUGAAGGAACACCUUAGACAGGUGUUGUGUUGCUUUUUGAUCUGCAUGUUAAACUGAGGAAUGGACUCAAUGUUGCAGAUUGGAUGCCUAACUGUUUAAUGGACUUCACAAAAAGAGCAGAACAUAACUUCACCAAAGACAAAUUAGAAGUUGCAGAAGGGAUCAACAUUGACGAGUAAUGGACAAUGAGGAAUGGAGAGUGAUAACAUAACAUCAACAAAAAUUCCAAGUUCUCCAUCAAAAGAUUUGGCAAUGUUUGUGGUAAAUGCCUUCUCCUCACAGACUGUUGCGGACUAGUUGUUGUUGUUGUUUUGGUUCAUAUUUGAAUUCUAGACACCUUUUUUGCUUCACUCAGUGCUGAAGUUAGGAAGUUAUUGGAUGCCUAACUGUUGAACAGACUUUCCCAAAAGGAGCAAAACAUAACCUCAAAAAAGACAAUGACAAGAGGAGAACAGUGAGAAAUGGACAGCGAUGGGUGAAUACUGAUAAUGGUAGCACUGAGGAGAAACAAACCAGUUCAAGUUCUCUGUCGUAAGAUUUGGCAAUGUU